UGCAGGUGUUCGUGUUACAUGGACUCAGAUGGCUUUGGUCCAUCUAAGUAGGAGUCCAGGUUUUACCCUUCCUGUCUGCCUCUUGGUGGACUGAGACAGGAGAGAGCCCAGAACUCCAUGGCAUGUUGGUCAGUGGCACCAACCCUGCAUUUCUAUUGGCGCCUGCCGUCCUGGCCAAGGUGGAAAAAGCAGGUUCAGAUGGCCACACACUAACCCGUUUAACUCACUCGGCGCCUGGGUUGUCGAUGGGGGCCCUUCGUGGAUCCUGCCAGGUCCAGCCCCUAAAACAAGCUGCCGGGCUGCGGCCGCGGUCGGGACCCAAACCAAGACUCCAUUCACCUAUCAACCCCUGCUGUUUAUUUUCAGAGGCAUUGGAGGAAACACUYGGAGGGGGCUUAUCAGAUCCAAACAGUCGCACGUCUUUGUUAUUUUACACACAGGCCUCCUCUCAACUUGGCCUCAUUUUCAGUAAUUGUUUUCUUUCUUGCUUGAUAGAAUAACACGGUGGGCUACAUUUAACACAAGUGGUAAGGGAAUCCCUGAGCGUAAACAAGCGGAUACAAUGCACACUGGGAUUUUAUCUGAGCCUUUUCUGUUAUUUUCUGUUUUCUGAAGGCCGGGCCACUGCAAACAUUGGAGUGUACAUCCACUGGGGUAAAAUUGUUGAAAUGGAAUACGGGGAGACUUCCAAUAUAGACCUGUGUUUUCCCCCUCCCCCCCAAAUACUGCUUCCUUACUCCUUCACUACACAUCAGCUAAAACCAGAAUUAGUCUUAGACCUCUUAUCGUGUCAAGAUGAUUCACGUUUCAAUUUUCCUUUUUUUCUUCCUCACAAUUUAAAUAAAAAAACUAAAAAAAAAAUAAUAAUAAUAAUUUAAAACUCCUGUGGUUUUAAUGAGCUUCUGAAAAUGUGGUGUAAAUAAAUGUAAUACAGCUGGUCAA